AGCGAACGCUGGCGGCAGGCUUAACACAUGCCAGUCGAACGGGCACUUCGGUGCUAGUGGCAGACGGGUGAGUAACACGUGGGAACGUACCUUUCGGUUCGGAAUAAUCCAGGGAAACUUGGACUAAUACCGGAUACGCCCUUCGGGGGAAAGAUUCAUCGCCGAUAGAUCGGCCCGCGUCUGAUUAGCUAGUUGGUGAGGUAAUGGCUCACCAAGGCGACGAUCAGUAGCUGGUCUGAGAGGAUGAUCAGCCACAUUGGGACUGAGACACGGCCCAAACUCCUACGGGAGGCAGCAGUGGGGAAUAUUGGACAAUGGGCGCAAGCCUGAUCCAGCCAUGCCGCGUGAGUGAUGAAGGCCUUAGGGUUGUAAAGCUCUUUUGUCCGGGAAGAUAAUGACUGUACCGGAAGAAUAAGCCCCGGCUAACUUCGU
rnacentral:rRNA from 1 species